rnacentral:lncRNA from 1 species
GUAUCUCUUAAAAGAAUGACUGAGGGGCUGGCGCUGUGGUGCAGCGGGUUGACACCCUGGCCUUAAGCGCAGGUAUCCCAUAUGGGCGCCAGUUCGAGACCUGGAUGCUCCACUUCCAAUCCAACUCUCUGCUGUGGCCUGGGAAAGCAAUAGAGGAUGGCCCAAGUCCCUGAGGCCCUGCGCAUGCAUGAGAGACUGGGAGGAAUCUCCUGGCUCCAGGCUUUGGAUUGGUGCAGCUCUGGCCAUUGCGGCCAAAUUGGGGAGUGAACCAUUGGAUGGAAGUCCUCGCUCUUUUUCUCUGUCUCUCCUCUCUCUGUGUAAUUCUUUCAAAUAAAAAUAAAUAAAUCUUUAAAAAAAAUAAAAGAGUGACUGAACUGCACUUUUCUGAUGGCCUUUCUGAUAUGGUUUAAAGAGUUGUAAAGCUACUAAUACUAAGCAGUGACUGAGACACUAUGGUAGGUGCAACCUCUUUCUUGGGAAAGACCCCAUUCCUGCUCUCAUGGAAUUGGGUGUCUAGUUAGAAGAAAAGACAAAUACACAACCACACAUCAAAGAAUAAUGUGGUUAGUUAGUCCAGUCAUAGAGCUACAGAGAGUUGAGGUACCACUGAGAUAAGAGAUUCGUUGGGAUGGAAUCUGUGAAUUCUUCAUGAAGAGGUUUACUCAUCUGCAAAUACAUUUAUGGACACUAUGAAGAGGAAUGGGUGGUAUGUGUCAGGCAAACAGAAACUGCCCUUAAAGGACACGGAGUCUAAUGGGAGAGAUCAGAACAAAUUGAGACCAGUAAAGGAUGAAGAGCAAAGAUUACAAGGGGAAAUUUGCCAGGAUGUAACCCCGAUGGUAGUUUGAGGAACAUCAGCACUUUGAAGGAGAAGAGUGCUCAGACAGAAGAGCAGAUCGUGCCAGCUGAAAGAGGGACAAGAAGAAACAAUUUCUAAUUUUUAAUUUAAAUCUCAAUGUUUUCUGGAUAUCUAGCUAUCUUUGUAUAACAUCAAUUUCUCUUCUUUGCCUUGUCACC